UACGAAGGGGGCGAGCGUUGUUCGGAAUCACUGGGCGUAAAGCGUGCGUAGGUGGUUCAGUAAGUUGGGAGUGAAAUCCCGGGGCUCAACCCCGGAAUUGCUUUCAAAACUACUGGACUAGAAUUCGGGAGAGGAUAGCGGAAUUCUCAGUGUAGCAGUGAAAUGCGUAGAUAUUGAGAGGAACACCAAUGGCGUAGGCAGCUAUCUGGACCGACAUUGACACUGAGGCACGAAAGCGUGGGGAUCAAAC
rnacentral:rRNA from 1 species